rnacentral:lncRNA from 1 species
CUGCAUUACAACAACUAGGAAAACUCGAAUGGAACGUUAAUGAAGAUCCCCAACACAUUUCCUCCCUUCCUUCCUGGUUUUCAUCCCCUCCAGGGGGUAGAGUAUUUGCUAACAUCACAUGCUUUAUAAAUUUUUCCAAUCACUAGCAUUGCAAUUGAGGGAAUUUUCGACUAAAGUGCUGCAUCUUUACUCUCAUCCCCAAAUGGAUUUCUGCAGCCAUUACACAUUUGUUUUUCUUUAAGAAAAACAAGUGGAGAUCCCAAUGGAAAAUGGUCUUUGAUAAAUAAGAGCUCCUUCAGGUGGUUUUACCCAACCAUUUGAAAUCACAGUUGCCAUAAAUGAUCUCUCAUAUUUCCGCAAGGCAAUUCUGUUAGCAGGAUUGCUCCCAGGGGGCUCUUUUACAAUUCUACAUGUUUCAUUCAUGGGAAAAACUAGCAAUAUUCACCUUAUGCCAUUGAAGCAGAAGAUUCCAGGGAUAAACUAGGAAUGCUUAGAAACCCUAGGAAGAAUAUUGGUGAUCUGGAAUGUCUGAUCACCAUGGCUUUGGAUUCUGUUUUGUUUUUCUAUUCAAGUGCCUGUCAAAAACUCCAUUUAUGUUUUCUUUGCUACUUAAAAAGAUCUUGCUUAGAGACCUCUGACACAAGAAGUCAAAUUCAAGGAUAAUAGAGAAUGGAAUAAUCUUAAACAGAGAGGAAAGAAGAGGAAGAGGCUACCCAUACAAUAAUGGCUAAAAAGAGACAUGAAGAUUUGUCUUAGGAACAAUGAGCUGGAUGCUCUAAAGAGGAAAAAGAUGCUUAUUCCCACCAAGAAUGAUACAUAUAAGACAGAAUUCAAUAAAGAGAAGACUAAGAAGCA